AUUCGGUUCACACAAAUAACGGGAAAAGUGGAAUUUGUAAUUUGCAUUUUUCGCCGUUUUUUUUUUAUUAUUAUUUUCAGCGCCAUUUUAAUGUUUUCGGGUCAUUUUGCCGCGUAUCAUUUCGGUAAAAAUCAUUUUUGACUAUUUUUCGAUAGUUUUCAGAACAUUUAAAACCAGGCCCUUCUAGUAAUAAUAUAUUCGAAGCGACGCGGUCGGUUACACCGAGUUUUCCCCCUUCAUAAAUUAUAUGAUUCUCUGUUUUGACUGCCGCAAUCACAGUC